UACGGAGGAGGCAAGUGGUAUCCGGACUUAUUGGGCGUAAAACGUCCGUCGGUGGUUGAGCAAGUCUGCUGUCAAAGGGUGGGGCUUAACCUCAUAAAGGCAGUGGAAACUGGUGAGCUAGAGUGCGGUAGGGGUAAGGGGAAUUCCCAGUGUAGCGGUGAAAUGCGUAGAGAUUGGGAAGAACAUCGGUGGCGAAAGCGCCUUGCUGGGCCUGCACUGACACUGAGGGACGCAAGCUAGGUGAGCGAAAGGG
rnacentral:rRNA from 1 species